rnacentral:rRNA from 1 species
GACGAACGCUGGCGGCGCGCCUAACACAUGCAAGUCGAACGAGCGAGAGAGAGCUUGCUUUCACAAGCGAGUGGCGAACGGGUGAGUAACGCGUGAGGAACCUGCCUCAAAGAGGGGGACAACAGUUGGAAACGACUGCUAAUACCGCAUAAGCCCACAGGUCGGCAUCGACCAGAGGGAAAAGGAGCAAUCCGCUUUGAGAUGGCCUCGCGUCCGAUUAGCUAGUUGGUGAGGUAACGGCCCACCAAGGCAACGAUCGGUAGCCGGACUGAGAGGUUGAACGGCCACAUUGGGACUGAGACACGGCCCAGACUCCUACGGGAGGCAGCAGUGGGGAAUAUUGCACAAUGGGGGAAACCCUGAUGCAGCGACGCCGCGUGGAGGAAGAAGGUCUUCGGAUUGUAAACUCCUGUUGUUGAGGAAGAUAAUGACGGUACUCAACAAGGAAGAGACGGCUAACUACGUG